CGCCCCGGGGUCUCCUAGCGGCGCCGCAGACGUCCGAGACGGCCGGCGCGGGCGCUUCCCCUGCAGCCGGCCGGAAGGAUGGGGCUCUGGAGGGGUUGAGCCGGCGGUGAUCCUGGCGGGCAGCCUGCAUGCCGUCCACACAUGGGGGGCUCCUCACCUCGCAGGGCUGUGCACACCUCAGAUACACCACAAAGGCCUCACUGCUGUCGUGACCUCACCUUCCUCAGCCUCCAGACCUGUCUUUACUGCGCAGCACAGAUGGGCUGCUACACCUGGCACAACUUCUGGUCAAGUGCAGCCCCGCUGGACCAUGGCCUGGGUGUCCCCGGGGUCCUCGCCACCUCUGGCCCCUGUGCAGCCCAGUCAGCACUUGGGGAAAGCACAGACGUCACGCUGCUUUAGGAAAGCUGCCCACCAUGUGCUUGCUCUGCACGUCUGUCUUCAGGGGGCAUCCUGGCUCGACGGCAAAGCCAGCCUUGCAGUCACCAGGCUCACCCCUGGCAUUUCAGUCUGCGACAGGACCCAUCCCAACCAAUAGCUGCCUUUUCUGGAAGCUGGAAACCUUGAUUCAAAUAACAAAAUACAGUAUUUCUCAUGUGCCUUGCAAUAAUCCCUGUGCUUCGGAAGAAUCCAAACUAGGGGUCAUUCCUCAUGUGACUUUACAAUAUCAGGAACACAGAGCACCAAAAUAUUGUCACGUUUUAUUUAUUUCAAGGCACUUUCCACCAGAAAGUGUAAAAAAGAAGAAAUAAACUACCCUGGUAAAACAUCACAUUUUAACAAACAUGACAGUGAGAUCCAAAUGAGACGAAGUAGAAAAAUCGAUAUACUUAAUGUUCAUUACCUUGAAAUGCUUGCUGAAAAAAAAAAGACUGCAAAAGGAGGAAACAGAAAAGUGCAAAGCUGCCCCUUUAAAGAUUUCCAGCCCAUGGGGAAGGAACCACACUCUCUAUACACAGGGAAAGAACCCAAUGGCACCAUCUGAAUUCUCCACAUCUCACUGGCACCCAGCUCAUAUGGGUCUUCGCACUCACUGGUCAAGCCCCUCACUGACUGAAUGAUGAACAAGCCAGCAGCACUUCUCUUAAGCAUUCGACACUUCCUACACGUGACAGGCCCUCCACAGGUCCCCAUAGUUUAUGGAUGAUUCUUACCCAGUAAUAUACAUCUCAAACCCACUAUUUUGAAAAAUGUCAGACUGAUUGUAUGUUAAUGAUGCACAUAAAUUAUCUUAUAUACACUAAUAGUAAAGGAUAGGAAUAUGCUGAAUUACUUCGUGCUUUUCAAGAAGUGUAAUUUUACCUCGACUUCCCUAAUAUUUUUCUUCAGCUUCUGCUGUAUUUAACUAUCACCUGAAGAUCAAAGGCCCCUUUCUCCCUACUUUUACUCCCAAAUCUUAAGAGGAAAUGAUCAUACAGAAAGGUCACAUCUGAGUUGAUGACUGAGACAGAGCUGAAGCUCAUCACUUCUGGGGGUGAGCAAAGGACCCCUCCCAAUGCUCACAAGGCCCAAAGGGCAGCUCUAAGGGCCAGUCCAGGGCCUGAUGGUCUCCUGAUGAUCUACAAAGACCUCAGUGCUUUUGCCUUUGCUCUGUGACUGGGGAGGGAAAACUCUGCCUGAAGCUGUACCCACUGAAAACCAGUGACCUGCAGCCUCCAAGUGCAGCCCGAAGUGAGUGGGGAGAGGAGCUGAAGCCAGAGACCCUGCGGGACAAACACUGAGUGUGUGGGGAUGUGACUGAGACGCCCCACAGCCGGAGCAGACCUGACCUCCCCGAAGACCUACCCAGCCGAGCACGAAGGCCAACGGACUCUCCAGAUUCGUCUGCUGAUGGCGUGCAUCUCUGCGGAGCCCAGGUGCCAGCACAGCCCACCCUGUGGGAGGGAUCAGGUGAGAACUGAAUCCCAGCCACGCAGGUGCUCCCACCAGAGGAUGUAUGGGGGUCACCAGCCCCAGGGAGCUCUGCAAGCCAGGGCCCCUCCACCUCAACCAGCCUCACUGAGGGCUGGCAGCUCUGCACUGGCACCCUGGGCCACCUGCCCCAAACCCCAACACCCAAGCCUGCACUCAGGACUCACUGACGGCAGUGGGCACCAGGCAGGGGACAGACAUGAGGGAAUAGGAGCUGGACGUCUGCCAGACUGGCUGACAGAGUGAGAGGCAGAAGUGCAGGUCACAGAGCCCACUGCACCACAGCACAUGCCUGGCACCAUCACAUGUCACCGGGAGCUGCCCCUUUCUGGCUGUAGGUACCAGAGUGUCACUACGGUCACCCUGGGGAAGACACCCCAAAAGCAAAAGUUGUGCUCAAGAUGAUGAACACUUCUGAGAGACCACUGUGGUCAUUCUUGAAAUUAAGGAGAAACCUUUAUUUUCAACAAAAGUGCCCAGGAGAGAUGGUUCAUUGAUCCACUAGGAAAGAGUCUCUCACCACUUACAGCACCAAAAUAUAUAUUUAAAAAAUUAAAAAACACACAGCCCGCCCCGCAUACACACACGCACACACCCAUCUCCCCCAAAGCCACACGACCCAGACCAAACAGGAAGACAACCAAACUUAGUGCCCUCGCACAAAAGAAGUCUUUGAAUUGGGAUUUACAAAUUCAUAUAGUCUUUCCUAUGAAAAAA